UGUAUACUGUACUGUUGAUUUCACUUCAAAUGGAACACCCGGGCGGUGGCCGGGUCAGCCAUUUUUAUCACGUGAGCUUACUUUCAGAAUGACCGGAUCCCGGGCCCGGUGCGCCCGGGUGUUCCAUUUGAAGUGAAAUCAACAGUAUCUAUGCUUACUGACAGAGUUACGGACUGAUCCUCGGACUGAUCUGUGAUGAGAUUGAGAUGAUGUGCAUGCCUAAACACCCUAUCUACUUACACUAAUUACUUCAAUAGACUAAUUGAUUAGUUAUCCACUGAGUUCUGUGUUUAUAAUUCAUAUGCUUCAAUUAACUUCAAUCUCUUCAAGUAAGCAGGUAUUGCCACAGUCAAUAAAAUGGUGGAUUGAAACGGGAAGGAGUCAGGAGCUUAUUUCAAGCAAAUGUCAAUAAAUUAAGAUUGUACUCACCCUGUCCAGCAGCAGAAUAUGGAUACAGCUUAAAGCCUGUGACUGUCUCUACAACUAUACUACAGUUUCUCCUUCCCACCCCCAUGUGUCUCCCUUUCUCUCUGUCCCUCUCUAUCUCACACUGGACCUCCAUCAAUAAACCUAGGUAAGUUUAUAAUACUUAAAAUUUAAUUCUUUCUUUAUUUCCUGUACAUUAUGCAUGUAUGACACUUGAAUUUACAAGCAAA